rnacentral:tRNA from 1 species
AGUCUUAUAGUCAAUAAAUGAUGAUAUAAAAUUGCAAAUUUUAAGGGGUAAGUAUUUACUAAGGCUU